rnacentral:rRNA from 1 species
AACGAACGCUGGCGGCAUGCCUAACACAUGCAAGUCGAACGAAACCUUCGGGUCUAGUGGCGCACGGGUGCGUAACGCGUGGGAAUCUGCCCUCUGGUUCGGAACAACAGGUGGAAACGACUGCUAAUACCGGAUAAUGACUUCGGUCCAAAGAUUUAUCGCCUGAGGAUGCGCCCGCGUCGGAUUAGCUUGUUGGUGAGGUAAAAGCUCACCAAGGCGACGAUCCGUAGCUGGUCGGAGAGGAUGAUCAGCCACACUGGGACUGAGACACGGCGCAGACUCCUACGGGAGGCAGCAGUGGGGAAUAUUGGACAAUGGGCGAAAGCCUGAUCCAGCAAUGCCGCGUGAGUGAUGAAGGCCUUAGGGUUGUAAAGCUCCUUUACCCGGGAUGAUAAUGACAGUACCGGGAGAAUAAGCCCCGGCUAACUCCGUGCCAGCCGCCGCGGUAA